rnacentral:ncRNA from 1 species
CAAGUACUAAAUUUUUUACUUGAAUUAUUGACAUAAAAUAACUGCUUAUAAACCAAGAAGAAUUUUUUGCGUGGUAAAAAUCGCAUUAUUAAAAAUUUGUGUAAAGGGACAAAUUUU